GUGAGGAAUUUUCCGCAAUGGGCGAAAGCCUGACGGAGCAAUGCCGCGUGAAGGAUGAAGGCCUAUGGGUUGUAAACUUCUUUUCUCAGAAAAGAAUUAUGACGGUAUCUGAGGAAUAAGCAUCGGCUAACUCUGUGCCAGCAGCCGCGGUAAGACAGAGGAUGCAAGCGUUAUCCGGAAUGAUUGGGCGUAAAGCGUCUGUAGGUUGUUUAAAAAGUAUUCUGUCAAAGAUUAGGGCUUAACCCUAGAUAGGCAGAAUAAACUUUUAAGCUAGAGUUUGGUAGAGGCAGAGGGAAUUCCCGGUGGAGCGGUGAAAUGCGUAGAUAUCGGGAGGAACACCAAAGGCGAAGGCACUCUGCUGGGCCAAUACUAACACUGAGAGACGAAAGCGAGGGGAGCAAAUGGGAUUAGAUACCUUGGUAGUCC
rnacentral:rRNA from 1 species